CGUCGUCAACCUGCUGCGGGCAGAUGAAAUGGAUAUGCGCAUCGAAGCCGCCCGCGGUGAGGAUCUUGCCCUCGCCCGCGAUGAUCUCGGUUCCCGGGCCGAUGAACACGUCGACACCCGGCUGGGUAUCGGGGUUUCCGGCCUUGCCGAUCACCGCGAUCCGGCCAUCGCGCAGGCCGACAUCGGCCUUGUAGAUGCCGGUAUGGUCGACGAUCAGCGCAUUGGUGAUCACGGUAUCCAUCGCCCCGGCCUCGCGGGUGAUCUGGCUUUGCCCCAUGCCGUCGCG
rnacentral:sRNA from 1 species